GAAAAUUGUCAACCACUCCUUCCUUAGGGGGUAAAAGCAACAUUCAGCACCGGGGGCAGGUCAAGGCAAGGCUGGCUCCCGUCUCCAGGCCCCAAGGAGCCACACCUGGACCAGACCCCAGGAAAGGCAAGGGCGCUAGCUGGUGGGAGCCACCCCGCCAUGCUGAUGUCAGAGAAGCAAGAACUCUGGAGAAGCAGCCUCCUGGGACCAGAGGAGGGCCAGCAGCAGGCAGCCCGGAGACAGAACUCUCACCCACGCCUCUCCAAGCCUCCCAACAGAAGACAGAGGUCCCCCACAGCCAGAGACAUUUCCUGAAGACAUGGGGAACACAGAGGCAGAAACAGCCCAUCCACCCAGGAGCUGUCCCCCACACUGCCGGGAGCCGGCACCCAGAGCCGCCAGGUAAAACUGAGGCCACCUGGUUCAACAUCACCUUUCACAGAAGGGGAAGCAGCCACAGAAAGAAGGGCCUCGUUAAGAAGUGGAACCUGGGACCCCCAAGCGGUGUCUCUCAUCCUGACUGGGGAUCCAGAGUAGGAGGGAGCCUUUGGUGGG
ensembl:lncRNA CARMN cardiac mesoderm enhancer-associated non-coding RNA